GCGGGAGUGCCAGAGCGGUCAAAUGGGCAUGGCUAAGGACCAUGUGGCUUAGUGCCUGCGCAGGUUCGAACCCUGCCCCCCGCA
rnacentral:tRNA from 1 species